rnacentral:rRNA from 1 species
AGUCGAACGAGCGAGAGAGAGCUUGCUUUCUCGAGCGAGUGGCGAACGGGUGAGUAACGCGUGAGGAACCUGCCUCAAAGAGGGGGACAACAGUUGGAAACGACUGCUAAUACCGCAUAAGCCCACGGGUCGGCAUCGACCAGAGGGAAAAGGAGUGAUCCGCUUUGAGAUGGCCUCGCGUCCGAUUAGCUAGUUGGUGAGGUAACGGCCCACCAAGGCGACGAUCGGUAGCCGGACUGAGAGGUUGAACGGCCACAUUGGGACUGAGACACGGCCCAGACUCCUACGGGAGGCAGCAGUGGGGAAUAUUGCACAAUGGGGGAAACCCUGAUGCAGCGACGCCGCGUGGAGGAAGAAGGUCUUCGGAUUGUAAACUCCUGUUGUUGGGGAAGACAAUGACGGUACCCAACAAGGAAGUGACGGCUAACUACGUGCCAGCAGCCGCGGUAAAACGUAGGUCACAAGCGUUGUCCGGAAUUACUGGGUGUAAAGGGAGCGCAGGCGGGAAGACAAGUUGGAAGUGAAAUCCAUGGGCUCAACCCAUGAACUGCUUUCAAAACUGUUUUUCUUGAGUAGUGCAGAGGUAGGCGGAAUUCCCGGUGUAGCGGUGGAAUGCGUAGAUAUCGGGAGGAACACCAGUGGCGAAGGCGGCCUACUGGGCACCAACUGACGCUGAGGCUCGAAAGUGUGGGUAGCAAACAGGAUUAGAUACCCUGGUAGUCCACACCGUAAACGAUGAUUACUAGGUGUUGGAGGAUUGACCCCUUCAGUGCCGCAGUUAACACAAUAAGUAAUCCACCUGGGG